rnacentral:rRNA from 1 species
GACGUAGGGCGCGAGCGUUGUCCGGAUUUAUUGGGCGUAAAGAGCUCGUAGGCGGCUUGUCGCGUCGUCCGUGAAAACCUGCGGCUCAACUGCAGGCUGGCGGUCGAUACGGGCAGGCUGGAGUUCGGUAGGGGAGACUGGAAUUCCUGGUGUAGCGGUGAAAUGCGCAGAUAUCAGGAGGAACACCGAUGGCGAAGGCAGGUCUCUGGGCCACUACUGACGCUGAGAAGCGAAAGCAUGGGGAGCGAACAGG